UGGGCCUAGUGGUUAGAGCGUCUGCAUCGGAUGCGGGAGGUCGCGGGUUCGAACCCCGACCGACUCAU